UACGUAGGGUCCGAGCGUUGUCCGGAAUCACUGGGCGUAAAGGGCGCGUAGGUGGCGCGGUCAGUCAACGGUGAAAGUUCGGGGCUCAACCCUGAAUCGGCCGUCGAUACUCCCGUGCUUGAGCACUGUAGAGGCAGAUGGAAUUCCGGGUGUAGCGGUGGAAUGCGUAGAGAUCCGGAAGAACACCGGUGGCGAAGGCGGUCUGCUGGGCAGUAGCUGACACUGAGGCGCGACAGCGUGGGGAGCAAACAGG
rnacentral:rRNA from 1 species